ACCAAAUCCUAAACCUUAUCUUUCUCUCUUUUUGCUCUCUUCAUUGCCUUCUCUCUCCGAUGAUCCACCGUCUCUCUCAUUCUCUCUCCGAUAACACCUCUAUUGCCGACAAUGACACUGCUACCUUUAUGGCUGCCCCUCUGUGUGUGUGUGUGUGUGUGUGUCCUUCUUUCUUUGAUGAGGGAGAGAAUGAGAAGUACUACGACGUUCUCUACGACCUCCAUCACUCUAGUGUAGCUUCUACUUCGGCAACAUUUUGUUCUGCAGUAGCUCCAUGACACUCCACAGUCCAGCUCGAGAAAUUGAACAAAUAAUCUCGAUCUCACUGCCUGAAGUUACAACUAGCGGUCUCUGUUCGGGUUUUAGAUUCACGACGGUGACUUUCAACCAUUUUGAGCCUAGAUCUAUGCUGAAAAUUGUUGAUUUGAAUGGUUUCGCAGCAAAGAAGAAGAUCGAGAGUAGUAACCCUAACAUGAAAAAGAUAAAAAAGGAGUGAAAAAGAAGAGCGAGCGAGCGAGAGAGAGAGAGAGAGAGAGAGAGAGAGAGAGAGAGAGAUGAUAAGCGAAAGACAGAGAGAGAGACACAUACACACACAGAUAGAGAGCCUAGAUCAAGUUGAGCCUUUGAUUUUUGAUGAUCACCUGUGGAUCAUCUGUCUAAUCUUUGUAGUGGUAGUGAAAUUCUCAGAUCUGUGGAAGCCUCAGAUCUGUUCAAAUUUUCAUUUCUUAUAGAUUUGAUCAUAUAUAUAUAUACACACAAGAUUAGAUCAUUUAUAUAUUUUUGAUUCAUAGACCUGAUAGUGUUUGCGUUGUUGUUGUUAAUAAUGAUGAUGAUAGUGAGUAAAACAUAUUAAAAAAAUUGAUAGAUAGGUUAGAUAUGUUCAAAAUUUGAACAUAUAGAGGUUUAGUGUAUUUCAAUCACCAAGAUUUAAAUUUCAACAUAUAAAAAAAAUAAAAUGACUUUUCACCAAUAAAAAAAAAACAAAUAGGAAAAAAUAGGCUUGAAAAA